CCACUUCCCCACUUACUCAAAAAACUUCAACCCCCCUGAUACUAACUUACUCCACAACUACUCUCAACACCACCCAAACACAAAAGCAAGUAAAUUCUCUUUGGCAAGGAGGCUCCCAUUCAACAUGCAAUCUAUUCCAAAUCUUUGUUCCAAGGUAUUCCUUUUUCAAGGCAUUGAUCAAUUUGCUGAAGUUCCGAACAAUGUUCGUUUCAUGACAGAGGGAAGUUAUCAGCGUUAUCUGGAGCAAAUGCCUAAGAGGUUAUUGCCUAAGAGAGGCUUCGAUAUGGAUAAGGUGGAUGUUCGUGCUCCAAACUUUUAUAACUGACUGCAUGUGCUUUUUGUUUUUCUUCACUUUCUUUUGAUACUUUUAAUUGAACCAAAUGGCAUAUCUUUUGUAUAAGGCAAAACGUGGGCUAGUCCACGAUUUACAAAAAACAUUUUUGCAAAACGCGGACUGAUCCAUGAUAUACCUUAUUAA